UACGGGGGGAGCAAGCGUUGUUCGGAUUUACUGGGCGUAAAGGGCGCGUAGGCGGCCAGCACAAGUCAGUUGUGAAAUCUCCGAGCUUAACUCGGAAAGGUCAACUGAUACUGUGCGGCUAGAGUGCGGAAGGGGCAACUGGAAUUCUUGGUGUAGCGGUGAAAUGCGUAGAUAUCGGGAGGAACACCUGUGGCGAAGGCGGCCGCCUGGUUGGAUACUGACGCUGAGACGCGAAAGCGUGGGGAGCAAACAGG
rnacentral:rRNA from 1 species